rnacentral:rRNA from 1 species
UACAGAGGUCUCGAGCGUUGUUCGGAUUCAUUGGGCGUGAAGGGUGCGUAGGUGGCGCUGUAAGUCGGGUGUGAAAUCCUGGGGCUUAACCCCGGAACUGCAUUCGAUACUGCCGUGCUUGAGGACUGGAGAGGAGACUGGAAUUUACGGUGUAGCGGUGAAAUGCGUAGAUAUCGUAAGGAAGACCAGUGGCGAAGGCGGGUCUCUGGACAGUUCCUGACGCUGAGGCACGAAGGUCAGGGGAGCAAACGGG